rnacentral:rRNA from 1 species
AUUGAACGCUGGCGGCAGGCCUUACACAUGCAAGUCGAGCGGCUGCAGGGAGCUUGCUCCUGGAUUCAGCGGCGGACGGGUGAGUAAUGCCUAGGAAUCUGCCUGGUAGUGGGGGAUAACGUCCGGAAACGGGCGCUAAUACCGCAUACGUCCUGAGGGAGAAAGUGGGGGAUCUUCGGACCUCACGCUAUCAGAUGAGCCUAGGUCGGAUUAGCUAGUUGGUGGGGUAAAGGCCUACCAAGGCGACGAUCCGUAACUGGUCUGAGAGGAUGAUCAGUCACACUGGAACUGAGACACGGUCCAGACUCCUACGGGAGGCAGCAGUGGGGAAUAUUGGACAAUGGGCGAAAGCCUGAUCCAGCCAUGCCGCGUGUGUGAAGAAGGUCUUCGGAUUGUAAAGCACUUUAAGUUGGGAGGAAGGGCAGUAAGUUAAUACCCUGCGGGGAUGACGGUACCAAAAGAAUAAGCACCGGCUAACUUCGUG